GACAGAGGGUGCAAACGUUGUUCGGAAUUACUGGGCGUAAAGCGAGUGUAGGCGGUGUGGUAAGUCGGAUGUGAAAGCCCCGGGCUCAACCCGGGAAGUGCGCUCGAUACUGCCACGCUAGAGUAUCGGAGAGGUUGGUGGAAUUCUCGGUGUAGAGGUGAAAUUCGUAGAUAUCGAGAGGAACACCGGUGGCGAAGGCGGCCAACUGGACGAAUACUGACGCUGAGACUCGAAAGCGUGGGGAGCAAACAGG
rnacentral:rRNA from 1 species